UACGUAGGGGGCUAGCGUUGUCCGGAAUCAUUGGGCGUAAAGCGCGUGUAGGCGGUCCGGUAAGUCCGCUGUGAAAGUCCAGGGCUCAACCCUGGGAUGCCGGUGGAUACUGUCGGGCUCGAGUCCGGAAGAGGAGUGUGGAAUUCCUGGUGUAGCGGUGAAAUGCGCAGAUAUCGAGAGGAACACCUGCGGCGAAGGCGGGUUGCUGGGCUGACACUGACGCUGAUGCGCGAAAGCCAGGGGAGCGAACGGG
rnacentral:rRNA from 1 species